UCGUCCGUUGCCAUGGUGUCGUAUACAAAAGAAUUCUCAAACACAAUACCGCAGACAACGUUCAAACAAAGACGUAUUAUUGCAUUAUCUGCGCCAUUUAUUUCAAGAUAAACCGUGGAAGGGCACUGUAGGAUCUCAGUUAAUGACAUUUGCAUAGUUCUGACCAGAUUACUAAGUUUUUGGUGGUCCUUUCGCGGGGUGAUAGCAUUUCAGACGACGGGAUUUGGUUUUGCCAGGUCGGCUCAGAUAGCGGGACAAGACAAAACCUUUCCUGCUGGGCUGGUUUGCUGUGACACGAAGUGGUUGAUUGGUUAACAAAGGGAGGGCGAAAGCUGAGCCGAAAAGGUCACUAGCAAGGGGACUUAUACAAUGCACGGACAAUGACUUUUGUCACAGUUUUUGGACGCUGCCUCCUUGGCUGAAAUGGAAGCUGACCGGUGGGCACAAGGAACAAAAGACCCGGGUCUUAAGAUGUCUUUGCUGAGUCACUCGUCUUUGUCACUUCUUAAGCCAAGUUGCACUGUAAUUUUCAGCACUGGGACUUACUUAAGUCUUUGACCGUCCGAUACCAGUUUUUAUCAAUGAGAGAGCAAUCCACAGCUCGAAGUCCGAUUUCUGCGUUGGAACAGUUAAAGUUAAACUCUGAUGACUUCUAGUCACCCAGAAAACCUUGAAAGCUGUGUAAACUUUACGUAGACAGGUUUGAUUACUCUCCAAGCUGAAGUUUUUAGGUUCUUUUGUCGGCCUUUCUAUUUUGUACCUUUUUUAUGUCCCCGUGGAAAACGGUACAAAAUAGCAAGCGUGACAAAAACGCCUCAAAAACAGCCGGAACCAAACCUCUGCUUUGAGAGUAAAGUUCAGUGGUGUGACCGUGAGUGACCCACUUGGUGAGUGGGAUCUUCCCAGCCGACCCCCGCGGCGCCUUCUCACCUGACGGCUUGUUGCUAGGUAACGGGGUGUUUUGUAAGCAGAAGAUGACGACAGGAGAUAUCUACCUUACAGUGUCGCUUGAAAAUGCAGAGCUCGUGAGGAGGUGGUGAGAGCGUCAGAGCGAACACGCCAAUCGUGUUCGGUACGGGAGCGCCCUCUGGCAGCUUGAAGGUGAAGUGCUGCAUGAGGAUAGCGAAGAACAGG